AAUGCACCUUGCACUGACUGGCCCUCCAGUCAGUAUACCUGUUUGAGUAUCAUGUUAAACCUAUCAGCCUGUUGGUUGAUGAUGUGAGCCGCUUAUGCGUGUGUGUGUGUGUGUUGUGUGGUGUAGGUGUAUACGCAAGUGUACGCUUACAGUGCACGUCUACACUACUACAGUGUAAUGGCUUUAAAGGCAUGACCUUGAAGGUGGGCACAACAGCGCAUUCUUACGCCUACGAGCAAGAGCAUCAUGCCAGGCUUUGGAGUGGAAUAUGCUAUGCGUACCUACCAAUCAGUCAAGCGUCACCAAACGAUGAACCGUGCGGUCCAUCACCAUACAAAGCAGAUCUCAAAUCAGGCAAGAUUACCCGCUGAACUUAA
rnacentral:misc_RNA from 1 species